rnacentral:rRNA from 1 species
UACGGGGGGGGCAAGCGUUGUUCGGAAUUACUGGGCGUAAAGGGCUCGUAGGCGGCCAACUAAGUCGGAUGUGAAAUCCCCAGGCUUAACCUGGGAACUGCAUCCGAUACUGGAUGGCUUGAAUCCGGGAGAGGGAUGCAGAAUUCCAGGUGUAGCGGUGAAAUGCGCAGAUAUCAGGAAGAACACCAAUGGCGAAGGCAGCUCUCUGGGACGGUACUGACGCUGAGACGCGAAAGCGUGGGGAGCAAACAGG